CUCUUUCAUCUCAUCCUCAUUCUGUUUCUCCCCCCGGCAGACCUAGCUAUCCCAGCUUGCUCUUGUUGAACCCAGCAUUCUCUCUCACAGUUGCUCAUCUCUCAAGCCUUCCGUCUCAUGUUCUUCUCCGCCUGCAUCUAAAGCUUAGUGAUGGAAAGAAAUCAAGUCCGUUUGCGUUUGCACUUCGUCUCUAUCUGAAUCCCAAGCUUGAUGAUGGAAAGAAUUCCAUUGCAGCAGCGGAGGGUUGAAAUGUAGGGUUUUGUACAAAGAAACUCGAGAAUCAUCCAAGAGACUCUUCUCUGAGCUGUUGCUAAAUGUAGGCAUCGAUGAGGUGAGAGGAGGAACAACAUAUGAAAUCAAUUUCCAAACGCUGUCUAUAGAUCAAACCACGGGAAAAAGCAAUAAAAGGAAUCAUUGCAUUAGAAAUGGCUCUAUGGGUGAUGAUAGUUGUGAACCAGGGAAAACACUAAGAGGGAACGGAAAAUCUGCAUCAAAAUCUGGGAAAUUCGACAGGCCGAAGGGGCUUCUUCAAAGGGUGGACUCAAAAACAAACUGGGACUUCUUUCGGAUACGAAUACCCGGC